rnacentral:rRNA from 1 species
CCUACGGGAGACAGCAGUGAGGAAUAUUGGUCAAUGGGCGCGAGCCUGAACCAGGUGAGUAGCGGGAAGGAUGACUGCCCUACGGGUUGUAAACUUCUUUUAUAAAGGAAUAAAGUUAGGCACGUGUGCCUUUUUGUACGUACUUUAUGAUUAAGGAUCGGCUAACUCCGUGCCAGCAGCCGCGGUAAUACGGUGGAUACGAGCCUUACCCGGUUUUAUUGGGUUUAAAGGGAGCGUAGAUGGGUUGGUUAGUCAGUUGUGAAAGUUUGCGGCUCAACCGUAAACUUGCAAUUGAUACUGGCAAUCUUGAGUACAGUUGAGGUAGGCGGAAUUCGUGGUGUAGCGGUGAAAUGCUUAGAUAUCACGAAGAACUCCGAUUGCGAAGGCAGCUUACUAAGCUGCCACUGACAUUGAGGCACGAAAGUGUGGGUAUCAAACAGGAUUAGAUACCCCUGUAGUC